GGUGUUGUGGCUUAGUGGUAGAGCAUCUGCUUCACAUGCAGAUGGUCCCUGGUUCAAUCCCUGGUAUCUCCA